CCACAACUUUGGCCUGUUGGGAAUUUCAGUCGGCGUUCGUCGGAGACCUCGCGUUUUUUUGUAAUAAGCAUUUGGUCAUGCAGAUCUCGCAGCAAAUUUAGUUUUUAAUCAUUCCUGAUGCCAUCCCGAAUCAGGGGUGUAGCUUCCCUUCAGCGUAGUAAGGUCCAGUCUCAAUAACUUAGGAGGCAAAAUAUUGUGCAAAGUCCGGGAAGAAACACGCUUCUCCUUGAAGGGAUUUGGGGAUAGGAUAAGUCGUUUUCUUCUCCUCAGUUGCAUUUAUCAGUUUUCUCCCAACUUAUGCUGCAAAAUACACCCCUCAUGACCAGCAGUUAUUUUCUUGCAAAGGGGACUUGAAUUAGAUCUGUUCGAAGAGAAGUGGGCGGAUGCCAGGAUGAUACUUUGCAACAUGAUGCCCUUGUCGAUUCUGUCUUUGAUGUCCUUACUUUGUUAACUGGCCAUCUUUGUCCACUACAUGACUAUCAGAAGCAACAUGAAAAGGCAAAUCAGCUGCUGCUCACGCGGCUCGGCUUCCAGCUGCGCCGA